UCACCUCGUUUUCCGUGCUGAAGAAUACGAAACAUGUAGUCACCAUGGAUGAAAAAAGUUCAAGCGAUGCGUGUUUUACUUUCAUGAACGGAGUGCGUUUCCUAAGCAUUGCAUGGAUUAUUCUCGGCCACGUUUACGGAGGCAUGACAGACGUUCUAGCGGGAAGGCUAAAUAUGCUCUUCUUUUUCGACAAUUGGGCUUCUACAAUUUUACCAGCUGGCUUCCUGUCCGUAGACACAUUUAUGUUUAUCAGCGGGUUUCUUCUGACCAACGCCGUCUUCAAUCAGAAAAGACACGCCAUGUUCAUCGCACCCAUUGCA